AGGAAAACACUUGGAACUUGGACUCUGGGACUGGACUGCUCUUCCAGUAGAAGACAUACAAGUAGCUUCCUUGAUGGCAGAAGUGGAUACUGGUCAUUGGUGGCUUGCAUCUUCUCUCUACCUCUAUACUCCAAGUUCCUGGCUGGCACUGGAAUUACAUCCUUAGCAUGGGCAUCAUAACCUCCAGGUGAGUCUGUGCAAGUCAGAAUCAACCUCCAUCCAUCUCCAUCCAUUAUGAGACUUAGGACAUGGUGCAGCUCCCAUGGGGAAUAUCAGUUGUGUCUCUACCAAGGAUGCAGAGAAAGACAAGGUAAAUUCUGUUGCCCGUUUCAGUUGCAAUGCUUUCUGGAAACUUUUAUCUGGCCUUGUCUGGCUUUUAUGUCCUCUGGUGUCUUUACUGUUUGAUUUACAUCCUCACAAGCCUCCAGGCUUCUCCAGUUUAACAUCAUCAUGUUAGCUAGCG